UUUUUAGUUUACAGAAAUUCUGAACUAAACCAGUCUCUGACUUUUGGUAAGAGGUUUUCCACAGAUAAAGAGCUGGAUCUUAUUUCCAAAAAGUAAAUCGGAGAGAAAAGGUCCAAGAGAAUCACAGAAACAAAGACAAACCAGCUCACGGAUAAAUUCGAGAAUGCUUCAUAUAGCCCCGGUAUUGAUAUUAUUUUGGCAGUUUCUGACCUUGUUAUUUCUAUUAACUGAAAUCUUUAUCAAAUAUUAUGUGAAUUGUCCCGAUCGUAAAAAGGAUGAAAACCAACAGGCAACGUAGAAAGCUGAAGUCUGAAGGGAUAGUGAUGAAAUGCUUAUCGGUGAUGCUGGAUUUCCUUGGCAUGUCUAUGGUAAAUGAUGGCCUGUCUUAUCUUCCGAAUAAUAACGACAGAAUCAACGAUCUGAUACAAUAUCCGAAUAGAGAAUCUUCAGAAUUCUGAUAGCUUUUGGAGAAGUUGACUUCUUCGAGGAACAGAGAAAGUGGCUGGAGAUGCUGGCGGACACAGCCAAACUACUGGUUGCGCCUCGUGCCUAUGUGUCUCUGAAAGAAUUCCGGAUUCCAGCUGAAGAACAAUUUCAAAAUAAAUAGCAAGUGGUACUAAAAUUCAAA